AGUACAGAUACGCCAACAGCUUAAAAUAGAUAUCACAGCGGUGACAAAAUUGUUACCGCGGUGACAUUUUUGUCACUGCGGUAAUAAAUUUAUCACUGCGGUGAUAUAUUUGUAACUGUUGUGAUACUUUGUUUGACCCAAACAGUUUGAUAAGAGCUAAAUCGAACUAACCAAUGAAACAACGUCUUGCAAAACGGCAAAUCGGCGAAUAUUUACUGCGAAGUUUUCAAGAUGUCUGCCUCCAUGGAUACUGUAAACAACUUUUCAGAUCAUGACUUUGGUAAUUUUAAUCUUCGGACACAAGGAUGACGACAAUUAAGAGUCCAUCAAUGGUUGUGAAAUCAAGGAUAUUCUAUUGGAAGGAAAGACAUGAAUGCAUUCAAGUUUCCUGUGAGCAAUAUGAUUUCCUGACUUUGCCUUACAGUAUAAAACAAGAGAGUUAAACACUUGAAACUUGAAAAGAUGUGGUCCUAGAACCUGAAAUGGCAACUCCAGCUCUCUACAAAAGCAUCAUCUGGAAUCCAACUAUGUACAAUCAAAAAAUUAAUGUGUGUCUUAAUUUUGUCUUUUUAGAGCCCUGAUGGGUCUUAAGAUAUCAGAUGUUUUAAAAUUUAUUGUGUUUGUGCUGCAAGUUUUAUGAACUGGUUAUAAAGCUUAUGUAUGAAGAACCGUUUACUGCCUGGUUAGCUGCAGUAGAGCACUCAUAGGAAUUGGGAGAUCUGUGGAAUCCCUUUGUGGCUUGCAAAUUUCAACCUGUUUUCAAAAAUUGCUUAGUUGGUCAGUGUGUUAAUAUUUCAAUUUUCAGGUCUGGUAAAGAAAGUUAUUUAAAGGCAAUGUGCAAGGUUUUCCUUAAUAAUAGCAUGUACACAGGAAAAAAAAGCUUAAUAUUAGAUAUUUUGUUAUAAUCAGUUUGUGGUCCGUCCAUAGCUAAACAUGAACAUAGAUAUUUUUUACUUUUAUUAGUACUAUAUACAUAUUAUAAAUAAAAGGUUGUAUCUUG